CUUUAAGGCGUAGUGAUAUCAGAGCCUUCAAAGAGUGCCUAUAGAACCGGCAGAAAAGUUCCAGAAAUGGCUGCUGCAAAGAGACUGACAACAUCCAGAUAGAAGAAGACAGCAAGAAUCACAGCAGUACAGAUUUGGCCGGAAGACAGACAGCAGUCAGAGCUGAAGCAUCCUCAUCCUCAGGUGUGUGUUCUGCACAGUCGUUGUACAUGAAGCCAGCAGGCCCAACAAGCGGUGGGUGGAGUGAGCCCGUUGCCUGGGAACAGACUGGAAAGGGGCCAUCAUGGAAGAAAUGGCUUGGAUGUGUUCUGCAGAGGUGUAGAUCAGGGCCAGGCAUGAUGGUGAAGUACAAUGGAUCCUGCCAAUACUUUUGACUCUGCCUUGGUCAGAUGUUAAGCCAUGCUUAGUUGCUGCCUCAUGAGAUCUGCUGAUUUUGAGAAGGUGGAAAGGAAUCUGCCCUUAAAGGGCUCAGGAAAAUCAAUAAUAAAGACGAAAAAAGAAAAAGAAAAAAAAAGCCAUGGAUCAGACACAAAGACCAUUCACUUGACCAUCUCACAAGAAAGCACGGAGACUUCGCUACCACCAAAAGGAUUGUGGGGGCAUAGUAGGGCAUCUAUUUAUGGGCGUGGGGUGGGCACGAGGGUUGUAGAUUGUACCACCCGUGCUGUCCAUCCCUGCUUUUAUGCCUGUAGGCCAUGUGCUGAUGUGAUCUCAAAAUAAAAGUUGAGUGCCCUCUUGGGGGGGGGGGGGAAUCAGUGGUAUACUACCUUUGAACACAGAGCUUCCUUACAGCCACCAUGGCUAAUAGCAGCUGAUGCUCUUAUCAUGCAUGUGUUCGUUCUAAUAGCCUUUAAAAAGUAAUCUAAAGCUUUCACCGUGUCUUAGUAGUGAAUUCAAUAAAAUAGGUAUAAAUUUUCAUUUA